rnacentral:rRNA from 1 species
ACCCGCUGAACUUAAGCAUAUCAAUAAGCGGAGGAAAAGAAACCAACAGGGAUUGCCCUAGUAACGGCGAGUGAAGCGGCAACAGCUCAAAUUUGAAAUCUGGCUCUUUUAGAGUCCGAGUUGUAAUUUGCAGAGGGCGCUUUGGCGUUGGCAGCGGUCCAAGUUCCUUGGAACAGGACGUCACAGAGGGUGAGAAUCCCGUACGUGGUCGCUGGCUAUUGCCGUGUAAAGCCCCUUCGACGAGUCGAGUUGUUUGGGAAUGCAGCUCUAAAUGGGAGGUACAUUUCUUCUAAAGCUAAAUAUUGGCCAGAGACCGAUAGCGCACAAGUAGAGUGAUCGAAAGAUGAAAAGCACUUUGGAAAGAGAGUCAAACAGCACGUGAAAUUGUUGAAAGGGAAGCGCUUGCAGCCAGACUUGCUUACAGUUGCUCAUCCGGGCUUUUGCCCGGUGCACUCUUCUGUAGGCAGGCCAGCAUCAGUUUGGGCGGUAGGAUAAAGGUCUCUGUCACGUACCUCUCUUCGGGGAGGCCUUAUAGGGGAGACGACAUACUACCAGCCUGGACUGAGGUCCGCGCAUCUGCUAGGAUGCUGGCGUAAUGGCUGU